CACCCCCUGUACGGCAGUAACCAGGCGUUGUCUCUGGGUUAGGGGUAAAGAGGAGGGACUGGGAGGACCUCUUUAAAUGGAAGAGGCAGAGAGGCCUUCACUUCAUACUUAACUCUGGUGCUGGCUCCUUCCUCAGACUGUAUCUCACACUGGAACCAAGUGGGAGGGCAGCACCCAGCUCUGCCAGGCACCCUUUCAGAACAGCAGCUGCCACUGGUCUGAUGUCCUGCAGUGCCCUGUGCUGACCUAAGACCGCAGGGUCUCGGUGAAUCCGCAGGUCAGGAGGGAUGCCAGAGACCGUGCGUGCAGCCUGCUGCUCUACUGUUUUCUUUUUUGAGACAUGGUCUCACUGUGUAGUUCUGGCUGCCUUUGAACUCUCAGGAUCCUCCUGCCUCAGCCACAUGAGUGCUGGAAUUACAGGAAUGUGCCACCAUGCCGGGAAGUAUCUGUCUUUUGAAACAGGGUUUCACUAUGCAGUUCAGGCUGGCUUUGACCUCACUUUGUAGCGCAGGCUGGCCUGGAACUCUCAGUAAUCCUGCUGCCUUAGCCUCAUGAGUGCUGGGAUUACAGGCAUGUACCACCACGCCUGGCUCGCCUUAUUCUUGAAACCAAGGAAAACACUAAACUCAGGGCCCCGGGGAGCUGUGGGCAUCACUGUGAUCCUAUUCCCGCAGAACCACCCUUCCCAAAGUCUCUGUCCACCGUCCUCAGGGUGAGGCUUCUCAGCUGUCCUCCUAGGCCUCAAAGGCCGGAAUGUCAGGGUCCCCUGGGAAGCACUUUUCCUGAGCAACAGGCCCCUUCAGAUGAGCUCCCCAGGAGCCUUCAAGGCCACAGCCCCCAGCUCGGUUUUUCUGCAGCUGCCAGGCCACUACCUGUGCCGGGGGUGGUUUGCGCUCAGGCCCAGCUGGAGCGUAAUGAGAACUUUUGGUGAUUCGGGCUGGCCUGCCUGGGAGUUUCUCUCCUGGCAUACGCCAGAGUGUGUGCAUAUUGGUACCCUUUAGCCAGUAUCGUGCAAGUCACAGAAUCAUAGACUGCUGGGCAGGGCAGGGAGGAACCUGCGUGUUGGUAGUGGACAGUGAGACCUGGCUGAGAAACAAUCUUGUCAGAGUCACUGAACAGCAAGGAAGGAGAUGGGAUUCAAGCCUAUCUUCAGCACCGAGGGCUGCUGAGUGGCUUAGGAAUGAGGGUGUGCAGCAAGGCUGUGGAGCUCGGAGAGCCAGCAAAUGGCGCUCUGUUGAGGACUGUCUUUGUUUGCUGCCCGUUAAACGCUGUACCAUUCCUGUGCUGUGUCUAGACACUGCUGAAUAUCUCCUAUGGGAAAGAGUUGCCUCCCCACCCACCCCAUCCUGCUGAGAACCACUGCUCUAGAGUGGACUCCUUGCUCCAUGGCUUCCAGAGCCACAUCAAGAGCUCUGUGAUUCACGUGUGUUCUGUGCCCUCCAAGGCUCAGUCUGGCUGGAGAGGGCAGGCCCGCUCAGAGCAAAGGAAGGGAGGCCAUCCACAGGCAGAGCUGGGUGCAGAGUCUGCACAGGGGCGAGCACCCUGCAGACUGCGGAGAUCCAGGAAGGCUUCUCAGAGCACAGUGGUGGGCUUGGUGGGUGGAGGACAUCCUGGGUGGAAGGAAGGGCACAGAGAGAGCAGGGAAAUACUAGCUGUUGGGGGUGGCCUGUGCAGCCCAGGAGGAGUGGCGUCAGGGUGGUGAUGUGAGCAGGCUCAGCCCUGGCCCUGAAGCAGAUACUGUUCCCCGGGCCUUGUGGGUAUUGUCCUGUCAGUCUCCCCAGCAGUCUCCAGAGAAGGAGGCAUGAAAACUCACCAUACACAGGUGAAAAGGACGUGCAGAAAGCCUGGCCAUUUGCCCACGUCCCACAGCUUGUGAAGAUUCCGUGGAAGCUGCAGGAAGAAGCUUGGGUCUCAGGGUCUCCCUAUGCGAUUCAGGCUGGUAUCCAACUCACAGUGAUCCUCCUGCCUCAGCCUCCCGAGUGCUGGCACUACAGGAACAAUGGCCUGGCAGCCUUCAAGAGGCUAGACUAAGAGAAAAGGCUAAUGCCAUGAAGAUGAAUUAUGAUGCCCCUGCAUCAACUUCUUUUUUUUACUCCUCAUGUUGCUAUGGAAAGACCAGAGUAAUUGUAUUUUAAUAAUAAUAAAACAAUAAUCGUACUCAUCUA